rnacentral:rRNA from 1 species
AGAGUUUGAUCAUGGCUCAGGACGAACGCUGGCGGCGUGCUUAACACAUGCAAGUCGAACGAUGAAGCCUUUCGGGGUGGAUUAGUGGCGAACGGGUGAGUAACACGUGGGCAACCUGCCCCCUACUCUGGGAUAACUCCGGGAAACCGGGGCUAAUACUGGAUAUGACCUGGUUCCGCAUGGUUCCGGGUGGAAAGUUU